UUACGGUGAAAUCCCGCCUAAAUCACUAGUUCCCGUUCGAUCACCGAAGUUAAGCAGCGUCGAGCCCGGUCACGGCUUAGAUGGGGGACCGCUUGGGAUCAGAGAGUACUGCAAG